UGACCGCUGGCGGCAGGCCUACCACAUGCAAGUCGAGCGGAUGAAGGGAGCUUGCUCCUGGAUUCAGCGGCGGACGGGUGAGUAAUGCCUAGGAAUCUGCCUGGUAGUGGGGAUAACGUCCGGAAACGGGCGCUAAUACCGCAUACGUCCUGAGGGAGAAAGUGGGGGAUCUUCGGACCUCACGCUAUCAGAUGAGCCUAGGUCGGAUUAGCUAGUUGGUGGGGUAAAGGCCUACCAAGGCGACGAUCCGUAACUGGUCUGAGAGGAUGAUCAGUCACACUGGAACUGAGACACGGUCCAGACUCCUACGGGAGGCAGCAGUGGGGAAUAUUGGACAAUGGGCGAAAGCCUGAUCCAGCCAUGCCGCGUGUGUGAAGAAGGUCUUCGGAUUGUAAAGCACUUUAAGUUGGGAGGAAGGGCAGUAAGUUAAUACCUUGCUGUUUUGACGUUACCAACAGAAUAAGCACCGGCUAACUUCGUG
rnacentral:rRNA from 1 species